rnacentral:rRNA from 1 species
CCUACGGGUGGCAGCAGUGAGGAAUAUAGGUCAAUGGCCGGAAGGCUGAACCAGCCAUGCCGCGUGAAGGUCAGUGCCCUAUGGGCGUUAAACUUCUUUUGUGCGGGAGCAAUAAUGGUCACGUGUGGCCAGACGAGAGUACCGUACGAAUAAGCAUCGGCUAACCCCGUGCCAGCAGCCGCGGUAAUACGGGGGAUGCAAGCGUUAUCCGGAUUUAUUGGGUUUAAAGGGUGCGUAGGCUGUGAGGUAAGUCAGCGGUGAAAUGCCCCGGCUCAAAGGGGUGAAGUGCCAUUGAUACUGCCGUGCUGGAAUGCGGAUGCCGUGGGAGGAAUGUAUGGUGUAGCGGUGAAAUGCAUAGAUAUCACACAGAACACCGAUUGCGAAGGCAUCUCGCGAAUCCGCGAUUGACGCUGAUGCACGAAAGCGUGGGUAUCAAACAGGAUUAGAUACCCGUGUAGUC